UUUAAUUUAGUACAAAUUAUUAGUACAAUUCAUUUACAUUGAAAAGAUCUUAUAUGAGAAUUAAAU
rnacentral:tRNA from 1 species